rnacentral:rRNA from 1 species
AUUGAACGCUGGCGGCAGGCCUAACACAUGCAAGUCGAGCGGCAGCGGGAAAGUAGCUUGCUACUUUUGCCGGCGAGCGGCGGACGGGUGAGUAAUGCCUGGGAAAUUGCCCAGUCGAGGGGGAUAACAGUUGGAAACGACUGCUAAUACCGCAUACGCCCUACGGGGGAAAGCAGGGGACCUUCGGGCCUUGCGCGAUUGGAUAUGCCCAGGUGGGAUUAGCUAGUUGGUGUGGUAAUGGCUCACCAAGGCGACGAUCCCUAGCUGGUCUGAGGGGAUGAGCAGCCACACUGGAACUGAGACACGGUCCAGACUCCGACGGGAGGCAGCAGUGGGGAAUAUUGCACAAUGGGGGAAACCCUGAUGCAGCCAUGCCGCGUGUGUGAAGAAGGCCUUCGGGUUGUAAAGCACUUUCAGCGAGGAGGAAAGGUUGAUGCCUAAUACGUAUCAACUGUGACGUUACUCGCAGAAGAAGCACCGGCUAACUCCGUGCCAGCAGCCGCAGUAAAAC